rnacentral:rRNA from 1 species
GAUGAACGCUGGCGGUAUGCUUAACACAUGCAAGUCGAACGGACUCUUCGGAGUUAGUGGCGGACGGGUGAGUAACGCGUGAGAAUCUGGCUUUGGGUUCGGGACAACCACUGGAAACGGUGGCUAAUACCGGAUGUGCCGAGAGGUAAAAGAGAAAUUGCCUGAAGAUGAGCUCGCGUCUGAUUAGCUAGUUGGUGAGGUAAAGGCUCACCAAGGCAGCGAUCAGUAGCUGGUCUGAGAGGAUGACCAGCCACACUGGGACUGAGACACGGCCCAGACUACUACGGGAGGCAGCGGUGGGGAAUGUUCCGCAAUGGGCGAAAGCCUGACGGAGCAAUACCGCGUGAGGGAAGAAGGCUCUUGGGUUGUAAACCUCUUUUCUUAGGGAAGAACAAAAUGACGGUACCUAAGGAAUCAGCAUCGGCUAACUCCGUG